rnacentral:rRNA from 1 species
ACGAACGCUGGCGGCGUGCUUAACACAUGCAAGUCGAGCGGUAAGGCCCUUUCGGGGGGUACACGAGCGGCGAACGGGUGAGUAACACGUGGGUGACCUGCCCUCAGCUCUGGGAUAAGCCUGGGAAACUGGGUCUAAUACUGGAUAUGACUCCACGGUGCAUGUUGUGGGGUGGAAAGCCUUGUGCGGCUGAGGAUGGGCCCGCGGCCUAUCAGCUUGUUGGUGGGGGAUGGCCUACCAAGGCGACGACGGGUAGCCGGCCUGAGAGGGCGACCGGCCACACUGGGACUGAGACA